rnacentral:rRNA from 1 species
UACGGAGGGAGCUAGCGUUGUUCGGAAUUACUGGGCGUAAAGCGCACGUAGGCGGCUUUGUAAGUUAGAGGUGAAAGCCCGGGGCUCAACUCCGGAACUGCCUUUAAGACUGCAUCGCUUGAAUCCAGGAGAGGUGAGUGGAAUUCCGAGUGUAGAGGUGAAAUUCGUAGAUAUCAGGAGGAACACCGGUGGCGAAAGCGGCUUCCUGGCCCGACACUGACGCUCAUGUACGAAAGCGUGGGGAGCAAACAGG